rnacentral:lncRNA from 1 species
AUCAGAUUCAGUAGAUUUACCCUUUGCAUAAAUAGUAAUCUGUAUGUUCCAUUGUACUGGAUAUUAACGUUCUUUAAAAUCAAUGUUGAAGGCCUUCUUAUUGUAAAUGGCCCAGGUGAGUAUUGGGUGUUGAUCUCCAAAUCUCCAUCAUGCAUGAAUAAUUUCAGCAAAAGUGUCGUCGUCCUUUAGCAGGAAUGUCCAUACUCGAACAGUUAAAUCAGAUACACCGAUAUUAAGUUUCCACGCCAUUGUUACAUUUUCUCCGGGAGGGAGAUUUGACCUACACAUUGGAGUUUUAUUUACAAUCAAUGCAUUUCUAUUAAAAAAUUAAAUUGU